GAUGAAGAACGCAGCGAAAUGCGAUAAGUAGUGUGAAUUGCAGAAUUCAGUGAAUCAUCGAAUCUUUGAACGCACAUUGCGCCCCUUGGUAUCCCGAGGGGCAUGCCUGUUCGAGCGUCAUUUCACCACUCAAGCCUGGCUUGGUGUUGGGCGACGUCCCCUUCGGGGACGCGCCUCGAAACGCUCGGCGGCGUGGCACCGGCUUUAAGCGUAGCAGAAUCUUUCGCUUUGGAAGUCGGGGCCCCGUCUGCCGGAAGACCUACUCGCAAGGUUGACCUCGGAUCAGGCAGGGAUACCCGCUGAACUUAAGCAUAUCAAUAAGCGGAGGA
rnacentral:misc_RNA from 1 species